rnacentral:rRNA from 1 species
AUUGAACGCUGGCGGCAGGCCUAACACAUGCAAGUCGAGCGAGCGGCGGACGGGUGAGUCAUGUGUGGGGAUCUGCCCGAUAGCGGGGGUUAACUACUGGAAACGGUGGCUAAUACCGCAUAGCAGCGGAUGAACCCAUGUGGGAUUAGCUAGUAGGUGGGGUAAAGGCUUACCUAGGAGACGAUCCCUAGCUGGUCUGAGAGGAUGAUCAGCCACACUGGAACUGAGACACGGUCCAGACUCCUACGGGAGGCAGCAGUGGGGAAUAUUGCACAAUGGGCGCAAGCCUGACGCAGCCACGCCGCGUGUAUGAUGAAGGCCUUAGGGUUGUAAAGUACUGUCAUCUGGGAGGCGGUACCCGCAGAAGAAGCACCGGCUAACUCCGUGCCAGCAGCCGCGGUAAUUC